rnacentral:rRNA from 1 species
AAUUUUUAUUUAUUUAAAUAAUGAAUUAUUAAAAAUAAUUAUAUAGUUAAUAGUUUUAGUAUUUUAUAAAGAAAAGAUAAUUUUAAUAAUAGUUUAUUAGUAUUGUGAAAGAAAAUUGAAAUAAUUUGAAAAAUUGUUAUUUUAAAAGGAAAUUUAAUUUAUUGUACCUUGUGUAUCAGGGUUUAUUAAAUAAAAAAUAAAAAUUUAUUUUUCUCGAUUUCUAAAGAGUUAAUAUGUUAUAAAAGUUAAUGUAAUAAAAUUAUUUUUAAUAAUAUAUUUGAAAUGAAAUGUUAUUCGUUUUUGAAGGUAUCUAGUUUUUUAAGAAAUAAAUUUAAUUUACAAUUGUAAAUUUAUUAAAUUGUUUAUUUAAUUUAAUAAUUUAUAAAUUGAAUGUUUUAUGGGAUAAGCUAUAAAAUAAAUUUUUAAAAAUAAAUAAUUAAUGUUAUAAAUAUAUGCUUAUAAUUAGCAAUUAUUAAUAAGUUUGUUAUAAAAUAUUUAUGUAUUAUUAUUAUUUAUUAUAUUUUAAAUUUUUAUUAAAAUAUUUGUUUUAAUUAUAAAAAUGAAGAAAAAAUGAUAAAAUUAGUAUAUUUAAUUGUAAAAUUAAAAAUAAAUGAUAAUUUAAAAUAAAGAAUUCGGCAAAAUAAUGUUCGCCUGUUUAACAAAAACAUGUCUUAUUGUAAUAAAUUUUAAGUCUAACCUGCCCACUGAAAUUUUUAAAUGGCCGCAGUAUUUUGACUGUGCAAAGGUAGCAUAAUCAUUAGUCUUUUAAUUGAAGGCUUGUAUGAAUGGUUGGACGAAAUAUUAACUGUUUCAUUUUAAUUUUUUAUAGAAUUUUAUUUUUUAGUAAAAAAGCUAAAAUAUUAUUAAAAGACGAGAAGACCCUAUAAAUCUUUAUAUUUAAUAUCUUAUUAGUUAAAAAGAUUAUUUAAAUUAUUAUUUUAUUAAAUAUUUUAUUGGGGUGAUAUUAAAAUUUAAAAAACUUUUAAAUAUAAAAUCAUUAAUUUAUGAAUAAGUGAUCCUAUAUUAUGGAUUAAUAAAAUAAGUUACUUUAGGGAUAACAGCGUAAUUUUUUUGGAGAGUUCUUAUCGAUAAAAAAGAUUGCGACCUCGAUGUUGGAUUAAGAUAUAAUUUUAGGUGUAGAAGCUUAAAUUUUAAGUCUGUUCGACUUUUAAAUUCUUACAUGAUCUGAGUUCAAACCGGCGUAAGCCAGGUUGGUUUCUAUCUUUAAUUAAUUAAAAUAUUUUAGUACGAAAGGACCAAAUAUUUAAAUUAUAAAAUUUUAAAUUAUGAAUUUAAUUAAUUUAUUAAAAAUUUA